rnacentral:piRNA from 1 species
UGCCUUUUUUGACUACUACAGGCUGU